UUGAAGGAGAAAACCAGUUGGGAGAAACCUGUGCACACAACAACUGGUCAUUGAGGGAGAAAUUCAAUGUAUUGAGAAUAGAUACGACUAAGAAUCCCGAGAUGGGAAGAUUAUCUUGGAUCAUCCACAUGGGCCCAAACCUUAUGAGGGAGAUGAGAACAUCCAUUAGAGAAAGAGAGGUGAUGGAAAUAGAGGUCAGAAGAGAGGGAUAUUUGAAGAUACUACACUGUUGGAUUUGAAGAUGUAUGAAGAAGAACAUAAACCAAGGAGUGUGAGCAGCCUCUAGAAGCUGAAAAGGGCAAAGAACAGAAUUUUCUCUGGGUCCUCCAAAAAGAAAAUCCUGCCAACACCUUGAUUUGCACCCAGUGAAACCUGUGUAUGACUUCUGCCCUACAGAACUAGAAGUGCCUCCCACCCAGUAAUCGGAGUACGGAUCCCCUUGAUGUCUUUGCACCUCCUUUCUUCAUUGAAUCUUCAGAUGAGACCAUAUGUGACAUCUUGAUUAUACCCUCAUGAGAAACCCUAAGCCAGAGGAUCUAGGAGAUUGCUGACUCACAGACACUGUGAGAUAAUAAAUGUUUGUUGUCAUAAGCUGCUAAGUUUUGGGGGUAACUUUUUAUGUAGCAAUAGAAGGGAAGAAGCAUAGAAGCUUAUAAAUUAGGAGAGAAAAAUGAUUAGUAUUCAAAAAUGAAUACUAAUCAAAAAAUGAUUAGUGUUUUAUAAAUUAGGAGAGAAAAAUGAUUAGUAUUCAAAAAAUAAAAUUCCAUAUUGUACUACUAUUCUGGGAUAUAGUGAUUAUUAUACGCAUUUUGCAAGUGAGAUAAUUAAAGCUUCAGAGAAGUUAAAUAAUUUACCAAAGGUCACCCAAUCGAGUAUCAAUAUUCAACCUUCUUUUCUCUUCAUUACAUUUUGCUACCACCAGGAAAAUGUCGAGUCAAUAUUAGAAAAGAAGAAAAAUCAACUUGCCACUUAAAUCUGGCAUGCAAGCCUCUAUAUACUAAGAGUUGUAAAUGAGAAAAGUUAAGUUAGUGCAACUUGGGGUAACAGUGUAACAAAGGUAUUGGUUGACUUUGAACUUAUUUGACUCUGCUUCCUUUUGAAGAGCUGAAACAGAGUGUAGUAAUUUCUGCAAAUUAUGAUAAAGUACAUAAUAAAAAUUCAGAUACUAGACCAA